rnacentral:rRNA from 1 species
AUUGAACGCUGGCGGCAUGCCUUACACAUGCAAGUCGAACGACGCCAGGGGGCAACUCCUGGCGAGUGGCAAACGGGUGAGUAAUACAUCGGAACGUAUCCCGUCGUGGGGGACAACCAGUCGAAAGACUGGCUAAUACCGCAUGCGAUCGAAAGAUGAAAGCGGGGGAUCCGCAAGGGCCUCGCGGGAUGGCAGCGGCCGAGGUCGGAUUAGCUAGUUGGCGGGGUGAAAGCCCACCAAGGCGACGAUCCGUAGCUGGUGUGAGAGAACGACCAGCCACACUGGGACUGAGACACGGCCCCGACUCCUACGGGAGGCAGCAGAUGCCACUUUUGGACAAUGGGCGCAAGCCAAAACCAGCCAUCCCGCGUGUGUGAAGAAGGCCUUCGGGUUGUAAAGCACUAGGGGACGGAACGAAAUCGCGCGGGGGAAUACUCCGCGUGGAUGACGGUACCGUAAGAAGAAGCACCGGCUAACUACGUGCCAGCCGCCGCCGUAA